UGCUUUCUUUGCUGGCGACCGGCGCACGGGUGAGUAACACGUAUCCAACCUGCCCUUUACUCGGGGAUAGCCUUUCGAAAGAAAGAUUAAUACCCGAUGGCAUAAUGAUUCCGCAUGGUUUCAUUAUUAAAGGAUUCCGGUAAAGGAUGGGGAUGCGUUCCAUUAGGUUGUUGGUGAGGUAACGGCUCACCAAGCCUUCGAUGGAUAGGGGUUCUGAGAGGAAGGUCCCCCACAUUGGAACUGAGACACGGUCCAAACUCCUACGGGAGGCAGCAGUGAGGAAUAUUGGUCAAUGGGCGCUAGCCUGAACCAGCCAAGUAGCGUGAAGGAUGAAGGCUCUAUGGGUCGUAAACUUCUUUUAUAUAAGAAUAAAGUGCAGUAUGUAUACUGUUUUGUAUGUAUUAUAUGAAUAAGGAUCGGCUAACUCCGUGCCAGCAGCCGCGGUAAUACGGAGGGUCCGAGCGUUAUCCGGAUUUAUUGGGUUUAAAGGGAGCGUAGGUGGACUGGUAAGUCAGUUGUGAAAGUUUGCGGCUCAACCGUAAAAUUGCAGUUGAUACUGUCAGUCUUGAGUACAGUAGAGGUGGGCGGAAUUCGUGGUGUAGCGGUGAAAUGCUUAGAUAUCACGAAGAACUCCGAUUGCGAAGGCAGCUCACUGGACUGCAACUGACACUGAUG
rnacentral:rRNA from 1 species